AGAGUUUGAUCCUGGCUCAGAUUGAACGCUGGCGGCAGGCCUAACACAUGCAAGUCGAGCGGUAACACAGAGAGCUUGCUCUCGGGUGACGAGCGGCGGACGGGUGAGUAAUGUCUGGGAAACUGCCUGAUGGAGGGGGAUAACUACUGGAAACGGUAGCUAAUACCGCAUAACGUCGCAAGACCAAAGUGGGGGACCUUCGGGCCUCAUGCCAUCAGAUGUGCCCAGAUGGGAUUAGCUAGUAGGUGGGGUAAUGGCUCACCUAGGCGACGAUCCCUAGCUGGUCUGAGAGGAUGACCAGCCACACUGGAACUGAGACACGGUCCAGACUCCUACGGGAGGCAGCAGUGGGGAAUAUUGCACAAUGGGCGCAAGCCUGAUGCAGCCAUGCCGCGUGUAUGAAGAAGGCCUUCGGGUUGUAAAGUACUUUCAGCGAGGAGGAAGGCAUUAAGGUUAAUAACCUUGGUGAUUGACGUUACUCGCAGAAGAAGCACCGGCUAACUCCGUGCCAGCAGCCGCGGUAAUACGGAGGGUGCAAGCGUUAAUCGGAAUUACUGGGCGUAAAGCGCACGCAGGCGGUCUGUCAAGUCGGAUGUGAAAUCCCCGGGCUCAACCUGGGAACUGCAUUCGAAACUGGCAGGCUAGAGUCUUGUAGAGGGGGGUAGAAUUUCAGGUGUAGCGGUGAAAUGCGUAGAGAUCUGGAGGAAUACCGGUGGCGAAGGCGGCCCCCUGGACAAAGACUGACGCUCAGGUGCGAAAGCGUGGGGAGCAAACAGGAUUAGAUACCCUGGUAGUCCACGCCGUAAACGAUGUCGACUUGGAGGUUGUGCCCUUGAGGCGUGGCUUCCGGAGCUAACGCGUUAAGUCGACCGCCUGGGGAGUACGGCCGCAAGGUUAAAACUCAAAUGAAUUGACGGGGGCCCGCACAAGCGGUGGAGCAUGUGGUUUAAUUCGAUGCAACGCGAAGAACCUUACCUACUCUUGACAUCCAGAGAACUUAGCAGAGAUGCUUUGGUGCCUUCGGGAACUCUGAGACAGGUGCUGCAUGGCUGUCGUCAGCUCGUGUUGUGAAAUGUUGGGUUAAGUCCCGCAACGAGCGCAACCCUUAUCCUUUGUUGCCAGCGAUUAGGUCGGGAACUCAAAGGAGACUGCCAGUGAUAAACUGGAGGAAGGUGGGGAUGACGUCAAGUCAUCAUGGCCCUUACGAGUAGGGCUACACACGUGCUACAAUGGCAUAUACAAAGAGAAGCGACCUCGCGAGAGCAAGCGGACCUCAUAAAGUAUGUCGUAGUCCGGAUUGGAGUCUGCAACUCGACUCCAUGAAGUCGGAAUCGCUAGUAAUCGUAGAUCAGAAUGCUACGGUGAAUACGUUCCCGGGCCUUGUACACACCGCCCGUCACACCAUGGGAGUGGGUUGCAAAAGAAGUAGGUAGCUUAACCUUCGGGAGGGCGCUUACCACUUUGUGAUUCAUGACUGGGGUGAAGUCGUAACAAGGUAGCCG
rnacentral:rRNA from 1 species